ensembl:lncRNA
CCCCCCGCGCCCCCCCGAGUCCCCGGCGCUGCCUGGCGGGGGCGGCCAGGCAGGGCAGGAAGGGGGGAGCCGGACUCUCCUGACCCCGGCUACCGCCCCGCUGCCGCGGCGGCCCCCAGCGCUGUCCGGCGCUGGAGGGGAGAGAGGGGCGAGCGCUACGCGUUUAUUAGCGGGAAGGCGGGCGGGCUGUGGCAGAAGAUGUCGGCGGGGUGGGCGGGAAGGCGGCGGGCGGGCGGCUGAAAGGCGCUUUCUCUGCGCGGUGCCGGCGCGCGGAGGGAUACGACGCACGGCGAGGAGGAGGGGCUGCGCGGCAGCGGCGGGGCCGGGGCGACUCGCGGCGGCGGCGCUGGAAGUUCCCGAGCUCCAGUGCCGCAAGAAUGGGAAGCGAGCGAAACCAAAAUGUCCCCGGGGAGCGCGGCCCCGCUGGGGAGGCCUGGCACUUCCACAUCCCCGGCUCGCGGCUCCCCCUGUGCCCAGCCCGCUCCCUCGGAGCCAGCCGGGAACCUCGGGGCGCUGCCAGGGGCUUUGGCAUCUGCGCGAGCGGUGGGCAAGAGGAGCAGCGUUGUCAACGCGAGCACCAGCGAGGGAUGGUGAUGCCUGCACCCUAUGGCUGAGCUGGAGGUAAAUCACUAGCGGAUCGAUAACCUAGCGAAGGUUCCUGAAAGGCUGCAACAUUGUACGGAGCCCGGUUAGCGGUUAAAUAAUUUCUUUAUUUAAUGUUUGCGACUUUGAGGAUACUGAAUAAAACCUUCCGGUUUCUGCUAUAACUGUUUCUUUACUGCUUACAGUUAAAAGAAAAUAAAAACAAAGCCGGUGUUCGCUGAUAAUCAGCUGUUUUUAAAAAAUCCAUAUCUGAUGAGGGAUUUAAAGGAGCAUGAUUCGUUGUCUUGAUGUUUUGCACGUGCCUGUGCUUUUUCUGGUCGAGCUUGGGCCUUGCAAGAACAAAUGUGUUUGUGGACAAUAAGAAUGAAUUUAGCAGGGAUCAAUGUAAACAGGGCAAGCUGUAAUUUUUAAACAUUUCUUUAGCCUCAGUUUUUAACUGAUGCAACUUGGGAAGCAAAGACAAAAGUAUAUUUGAAAUUGUACAGAAACUAGACAAAGAACUAUUUUUUUCCUAUACAUAAAGCCCCCUGAAAUUCUCAACUAUCUAACUUUCAACAAAAUUAAAUUUGAACAACAUUUCUGUACAGACGAGGGUAACCUGCGUUGAGCAUUUUUAUACUUGUUUCCAAGGCCUGCAAGCUCAGUGUACGAGCUCGAGCUUUGUGCUUGAUUAUGGUGAGAAAGCUUCGCUGCAAUCACCCUUCUGCUUUAUUGAAGAAAUGUUGCCCUGAAAGGUUACAGAAGGGAGGCUAAAACAUCGCUUAUUUCCUUUGUUGUAUUACAAAAACUGUAUUUAUAUAGUGGAUGUCUAGAUGGUGUGCAUUUUUUAUAUACAAUUAUCACAUGUCCUAAAAAAUCACUAAAAUCCUAAUCUAGAAUUUUUAUCAUUAAGGUAAAUUAAUUUUGUAGCAUAAUUUUUUUAAUUAAAAAAAAAGCAAGACUGUAUGUACUAGAUUUGAUUACUGUAUCUGUAGCUAUGAUCACUAUAUAUUUUUAAAUGUACAUGUAUCUCCCUUUCCCCAGAUUUGUAACAAUAACCACUCUGUUUCAGCUUCACUUUAAAUCCACACUUCAAAUAAUUGAAAAGGAAAUGAAAUCAUAUUUAAUGUCUAAUAAAGAUUUUAAAAAUAAAGUGACUCGAAUCUUUUCUUAGUAAAGUGAAAUGUGUAUUGUAAUAUCUUUCCUAGGUGAUUCUCACAACAAAGGGCUACAUGAAUAAUGUGAUUAACAUUUUAAUUUCCCUUGAUGUUUACAUAAAAGAAAGUAUACUGACGUAUGACAUCACUGAAACUGUAAACCAAGCAAUAGAAAAAUUUUAACAGUUAAGGAGUCUGAAAGUACAGGAAAACCUCUCCUAGAUAUAUUGACCCUCCUUGUUCUUUUGGCAACUCAUAACUUUUCCUGUUGCAGUUCAAAAUACAGCCUACAGAAUCAAAAAGUUCUUGGUGUUUUGACAAUAAAAUAAGGAUUGUGUCUUUUAUUUAAUUUUUUUUUGAUCACCAAGCGAAAUGAAAUCAUAGUCCCAGACUUGAGCUUGAGCACUGCCGUGCUACAAGUAAUAUUUAAUAAAUAGCUUUUACAAACGUACAUUCCACUUUCUUUUUACAGAUUAAAUCUGAUGGGAUUUUUAUGUGCAUGUGUGGCACAACAUGAAAGUCACACACAAGAGAAAAUGCCUAAUUAUUAUUGCUUGGUGAUACACGUUAGAUUGAAUUCCUGCAGCAGUAACAAAUAUUCCAUUCAUUUCUCAGAGAUAUUUUUAAAGGUUUUUUUAUUCUUUCAGUUAAGAUUUUUUUAUAAUGCACACAAGUGAAGAAAAAUAUAAUCUCUGAAUUUUUACUAUCUUUAUUGUUUUGCUUUCUAAUAAUCCCUUUC